rnacentral:tRNA from 1 species
GCGGGUAGCUCAGUUGGGAGAGCAUCGGCCUUACAAGCCGAGGGUCACAGGU